CCUACGGGGGGCUGCAGUAGGGAAUAUUGCUCAAUGGGGGAAACCCUGAAGCAGCAACGCCGCGUGGAGGAUGAAGGUUUUAGGAUUGUAAACUCCUUUUGUUAGAGAAGAUUAUGACGGUAUCUAACGAAUAAGCACCGGCUAACUCCGUGCCAGCAGCCGCGGUAAUACGGAGGGUGCAAGCGUUACUCGGAAUCACUGGGCGUAAAGAGUGCGGAGGCGGGGUAAUGAGUCAGAUGUGAAAUCCAGUAGCUUAACUACAGAAGUGCAUGUGAAACUGUUACUCUGGAGUGUGGGAGAGGUAGGUGGAAGUCUUGGUGUAGGGGUAAAAUGCGUAGAGAUCCAGAGGAAUACUCAUUGCGAAGGCGACCUGCUGGAACAUUACUGACGCUGAUGCACGAAAGCGUGGGGAGCAAACAGGAUUAGAUACCCGAGUAGUC
rnacentral:rRNA from 1 species